GACGAACGCUAGCGGCGUGCUCAACACAAGCAAGCCGAACGGGGAGGCCCUGCGUAUGUGGGGUGGACGAGGGGCGAACGGGUGUGUAACACGUGGGUAACGUACCCCUGACUUUGGGAUAACCUCGCGACAGUCGCGCAAAGACCGGGGAGGAGAGGCUGGUGCAUGGAGGGGGGGGGAAAGAUUCGGCGGAUGGGGAUGGAAUCGCGGCUUAUCAGCCUGUGCGUGGGGUAGUCGCUUACCACGGCUGUGACGGGUAGCCGACCUGAGAGGGUGACCGGCCACAUUGGGCCUGAGCUACGGCCCAGACUCGUGCGGGAGGCGACAGUGGGGAGUAUUGCACAAUGGGCGGAAGCCUGAUGCAGCACCGCCGCGUGCGGGAUGACGGCCUUCGGGUUGUCACCCGCUUUCGCCUGUGACGAAGCGUGAGUGGCGGUACUGGGGAAAGAAGCACCGGCUAACUACGU
rnacentral:rRNA from 1 species